rnacentral:miRNA from 1 species
GAUAACUGAAGGCAUUGCAAG